UCCCUAUUUCAGAUGCUGACAAAUUCUCUAAUAAAAUACCUACCAAGUAAAAAAAAAAACACUAAAUACAAAAAACGAAACGUCUUCUACCUAUCAUGUCAUCGUCGGUUCACUGAUUCUCUCUCUAUGUUAUUAUUCUCAAACAUGGCCUCCGACAAUUUGAUCAACAACAACGCUGUCUUGAAAAAGCUUAAAGCCAAUGAGGACUGCCGACGCAUUCGAUUUUGGUACAGAUGGCUGGCGUGCUCCUCAAUUUCGCGUGAUUCAUAGCUUGGUUGCGAUCAGCCGGCUCAGAUGGUUGGCGUGCUCCUCAAUUUGGUGGGGGAUGGAGUCUUUGAUUUGCUGUGGGGGAUGGAGUCUUCGAUUUGCUAUGGGUGUUUGGCCUGAUUCAUAGCUUGGUUACGAUCGGUCGGCUCAGGUGAGGGAGUAGUGGGGGUUGGUCGACAUAAGAAGAAUGCAGAGGCCUGCGAUGGAAGAAACCACCGCGCACUUGGAUGGUGUUAGGCUGUCAGAUCAGAGUGUGUUUGAUCUUGGCUAAAACCAUUAUAUCAAAUGCUACUACCCUUUCAUUCAUGCCUCUUCGACGAUACAUUUUUUUAUCCGAGCAAGGGGAUUAAAAACUAGGUCAACAAUGAAUUGCAGAUGGCCAGAUGAUCAUGCGCCAUGACUCAUGCCAAUGGUGCUUAACUCUUGCUUUCUGGGAAAGUUCUAGGAGUGAAGCUGUCAGAUGGAAGGGAGUUCUUGACCAAAACCAUAAUAUGAAAUGUUACUAGAUCGGCUACCUUUGGAAGAUUAAUUUCAAGAGUAUGUUAAGGCCCCAUCCUUUCUUUCUACUCACAUGUGUGUUAAAGCUGAUGUUUUGGCUCCAGCUACAGGUUGUCACCAUUUUCUCUGGAGCUUAUUUGGCCUUUGAUGGUUUAGGUUCGAGCAACUGGAGGUGCCUGGCAUAAGGUCCUUUUUUACCAUGAUAGUUACCUCAAUCUCGGAUAUAAAUUUUUCCAAGAAUGGAAGACAUAUAUUUAAUCGUGACUAUCAAGGUUCUACUGGCAGAGGAACAUAAUACCCUUGCAGCAAGUCCAUCCAAUCCACCGGAAUUAUGUGGUAAUGCCUCCUUUUGUCUAAGUUAAUUGUUAUGAUAUUUUGAGGGAUUAUAUCGUCCCUACACGAGCCCUAAUGUUCAGAAUUAUUUUGAUGUUCUGGCAUAGUAGGUUUGUUUUAUUCUCCUUCUCCUCUUUAAUUUUUUUUUUAAAAAUAUUUUGUUUACCUAGAAUUGAUUUUAGGUUCAGUUCAUCGGCUGGAGCAUUCAUUGUAUAAUAUCUUCUUCUAUUGACAUACUACUAUUAUAUAAUAUAUACAUCCAAUGUAUAUAUUCGUGGAGUGAAUUUUGGAUUGAUUUCUUUUUCUUAUGUUGUUUGGUUAUAUGAUCUUUAAUCUGAUAUGAGUUUGGUCAUGUUUUGACAUUUAAGGUAUGAUUGUUGGUUGUUUUUUUUUUUCUUGAUCUUUCUGUCUUUAAAUUGAAUUGUUUAAAUUGGGAAGUCAUUGCAUAUGACAAACUUUGUGUAGGAGAAAAAAAAGUUGGUGUAGUAAUUGAGGUCUUACUGAAAGAAAUAUUGGUAUUGUGCUUCUAAUCUGUUGGAUGUUACAGAUUUUACAACACAAAAAAAUGAAGGGUCAAGAAAAGGCUCUGAGUCCUUAAUAUGAGUUUUGUAGUUGUCUUUGUUGUUGGUAACUCUGCAACCGACUCUCAAUUAAUAUAAUUGGUUUAUGUUUCUGAGUUGGUGCUGAUUGUCAAUGGGAGAUCAAAGGUGUAAUCAUGGUCCUCUAUGGAGAAAAAAAAACAGGAGCCGAAGAGAGGAGGUUAAGGGGCCCGUGAGUCCCAGAUUACAAAUGGCCCAAGUCCUAGAUAAAUCUAUACUUCCUCCUGGAGAAAGAAGACUAAUUUCAUCUCUGUUAUCCAAGUCUUUCUCCUCUACUUGACUUGGUUAAUCACCAAGUAUGUCAAGUAUGAUUAGCCUCUUCGUGGUGAUACAGAUUUCUAUUUGGUCCAUUUUAUAAGCAAUUAUGACCGAAACACUCUGAUACUUGCAUAAACCCGUUUGUUUUCUUUUUGUUAAGAGGUUCCUUUUUAAUUUCCACAGCUUUAAAAAUGCGUUUGUGUGCAUACAAAUUUGUGGGGCGAUCAAACUCUAUUCACGGAAAGUACCGGUGAUGCUUAACUUUGGUUGCUGGGAUUGUAAAAUUACAAUAAAUUUUUGAUGUGGUCAUUGUAAAUUUACCUUUAAAAAAA